rnacentral:rRNA from 1 species
ACGGGUGAGUAAUGCAUCGGGACCUACCCAGACGUGGGGGAUAACCUCGGGAAACCGGGACUAAUACCGCAUACGUCCUAUGGGAGAAAGCGGGGGACCUUCGGGCCUCGCGCGGCUGGACGGACCGAUGUGCGAUUAGCUAGUUGGUAGGGCAAUGGCCUACCAAGGCGACGAUCGCUAGCUGGUCUGAGAGGAUGAUCAGCCACACUGGGACUGAGACACGGCCCAGACUCCUACGGGAGGCAGCAGUGGGGAAUAUUGGACAAUGGGCGCAAGCCUGAUCCAGCAAUGCCGCGUGUGUGAAGAAGGCCUUCGGGUUGUAAAGCACUUUUAUCAGGAACGAAAUACCACGGGUUAAUAACCUAUGGGGCUGACGGUACCUGAGGAAUAAGCACCGGCUAACUUCGUGCCAGCAGCCGCGGUAAUACGAAGGGUGCAAGCGUUAAUCGGAAUUACUGGGCGUAAAGGGUGCGUAGGCGGUUGUUUAAGUCUGUCGUGAAAUCCCCGGGCUCAACCUGGGAAUGGCGAUGGAUACUGGGCAGCUAGAGUGUGUCAGAGGAUGGUGGAAUUCCCGGUGU